AAGGUCACUGAUACAAGGGGCCUACUUCUACGGAAGGCAGCAACUAGGAAUUUUGCGCAAUGGACGAAAGUCUGACGCAGCGACGCCGCGUGCGGGAUGAAGGCCUUCGGGUCGUAAACCGCUGUGGAGAGGGAAGAUAAUGACGGUACCUCUCUAGAAAGCACCUGCUAACUACGUGCCAGAAGCCUCGGUGAUACGUAGGGUGCAAGCGUUAUCCGGAUUUACUGGGCGUAAAGAGUAUCGUAGGCGGCUGAAUAAGUGAUUGGUGAAAUCCUUGGGCUCAACCCAAGAACUGCCAGUCAUACUGUUUAGCUAGAGUGACUUCGGAAAGGUUGGAAUUCUCGGUGUAGGGGUGAAAUCCGUUGAUAUCGAGAAGAACACCAAGGGCGAAGGCAGGCCUUUAGGAGUCUACUGACGCUGAUGAACGAAAGCUUGGGUAGCAAAAGGGAUUAGAGACCCCUGUAGUCCAAGCCGUAAACGAUGUUCACUAGCUGGUCCCGCUUUUGCGGAACUGGCGUAAGCUAACGCGUUAAGUGAACCGCCUGGGGAGUACGGCCGCAAGGUUAAAACUCAAAGGAAUUGACGGGGAAACGCACAACCAGGGGAGCAUGUGGUUUAAUUCGAGACAAAGCGAAGAACCUUACCUGGGCUUGACAUCUAUUUGACAGUCCCGUGAAAGCGGGAUCUUCCGCAAGGACAAAUAGACAGCUGCUGCAUGGCUGUCGUCAGCUCGUACCGUGAGGCGUCGGCUUAAGUGCCGCAACGAGCGCAACCCCUGUCCUGUGUUGCAUUUCACAGGAGACUGCCUCGCUACUAGCGGGGAGGAAGGAGGGGACGACGUCAAGUCAGCACGGCGCUUACGCCCAGGGCAACACACAUCCUACAAUGGUGAGGAACAACGGGCAGCGAAACCGCAAGGUCGAGCUAAUCCUAAAAUCCUCCCUCAGUUC
rnacentral:rRNA from 1 species